rnacentral:misc_RNA from 1 species
AGCUGCCUUUACAUUUGUCAUUAUGCUGUAUCUUUUAAAUCGCAAGAGACAGUAAAAUUUUGUACUAAUAUGGCCACAAAUAUGCAAAAUAAUCUUUAAAGAAUUAACUCCCAACAAAAGUUUUGGAUUUUGUUCAGCAGUUCAACUUUCGUGUGUCAGAUAAUAAUAGUUCGGCGUGUACCGCUACUGUCAUGAUAGAGUGAGAGCGAUGCUAUUUUCCGUCGAGACGAUCGAGAUGGCCUAUCUCUUGGAAGAGCUCUUGAUCUGCUGGAGUUUGAGACGUAAGGCGUCCACCGCUGCUUCGUUUUUCUGAGAGACCGCUUGUGUUUACCUCCAGCUGCGGGUCGAUGC